rnacentral:rRNA from 1 species
GAUGAACGCUAGCGGGAGGCUUAACACAUGCAAGUCGAGGGGUAUUGUAGCAAUACAUUAGACCGGCGCACGGGAGAGUAACGCGUAUGUAACCUGCCGUUAACCGGGGGAUAGCCCGUCGAAAGGCGGAUUAAUACCCCAUAAUAUUGGGAUUCUGCAUGGGAUUUCAAUUAAAGCUGAGGUGGUUAACGAUGGGCAUGCGUGACAUUAGCUAGUUGGUAGGGUAACGGCCUACCAAGGCUACGAUGUCUAGGGGUUCUGAGGGGAAGGUCCCCCACACGGGUACGAAGACACGGACCAGACUCCUACGGGAGGCAGCAGUGAGGAAUAUUGGUCAAUGGGCGAGAGCCUGAACCAGCCAUCCCGCGUGCAGGAAGACGGCCCUAUGGGUUGUAAACUGCUUUUGCGCAUGAAGAAUGUUACCGACGUGUCGGUAAGUGACGGUAAUGCGUGAAUAAGCAUCGGCUAACUCCGUGCCAGCCGCCGCGGUAAAAC